rnacentral:rRNA from 1 species
CCUACGGGAGGCAGCAGUAGGGAAUAUUGCUCAAUGGGGGCAACCCUGAAGCAGCAACGCCGCGUGGAGGAUGAAGGUUUUCGGGUUGUAAACUCCUUUUGUUAGAGAAGAUAAUGACGUUAUGUAACGAAUAAGCACCGGCUAACUCCGUGCCAGCAGCCGCGGUACUACGGAGGGUGCAAGCGUUACUCGGAAUCACUGGGCGUAAAGAGCGCGGAGGCGGUGUAGCAAGUCAGAUGUGAAAUCCUAGGGCUUAACCAUAGAACUGCAUUUGAAACUGUUAUUCUAGAGUAUGGGAGAGGGAGGUGGAAUUCUUGGUGUAGGGGUAAAAUCCGUAGAGAUCAAGAAGAAUACUCAUUGCGAAGGCGACCGCCUAGAAUAUUACUGACGCUGAGGCGCGAAAGCGUGGGGAGCAAACAGGAUUAGAUACCCGAGUAGUC